ACCCAGAAUCACUGUAGCUGUUCAGCAACUGGCAAAGACCGUAACAGGCAGGUUCCUGCUGGCCCGAAGGAUCACCCUCUACCUGGCUAGAUGGUUGAAACACGUGGAAGGGAACACACAGUGCACAUAGUAAAAGUGGAGGAUGCAUUUUGGUUCCGCUCAUCUUUCUCCUUCCUUCUGUGCCCUCUACUCUGCCCCAAGGAGCACUGCAAUAAGCCUGAUGUGGGAAGUCUCGGAAGUCAAAACUUACACAGGUGGAACUGAAAGCAGAAGAGGCUCAAAAACCUAUGCAUAUGUAUCACCACUGAUACUUCUAACCAACUUGCUUAGCUGACCACCACUGGAUUUACAGUCUUAAUUUAGUGUUUUACACCUCCUACACUCAGAACGUCAAACUAUGUCAUCUCCCUCAUGAGCCAAAAGAGCAUGUCCCUCCAUCUCAUUCAUUCAAGAGACAAGUAGCACAAUAGCUGGCUUAGCCUGAAACUCUCCACACCCCAAGGCCAUGAGUGUACCUGGAUUUUAUACACCGUGAUCCUUAUAGCCUUAACCCAGCAACACCCAUAUAUAUGUACCCUUCAGCGUGAAGCACAUGAGGUUUUCUUGUGUUGGCACUGAACAAAAAAGUGCUAAUCCUUCUGGGAUUAGUCAAAUGGGGCUUAAAAACCCUCUCAGGUGCUUUUCAGUUGCAAGAUUUCCUUGGCAAGUGCAGACACUGGUCUCAGUCAUGAUUUCCCACAGAAUCUAAGCUUCAAUAAGAAAAAAAAAAUCAGACUCACAGUAGCAAAAUAACUUUUUCAAGUUCAUACCCAAUGCAAACUGUUGCAACACUGGCCUGCUGAAUUUGCAGAGAAGCAGCUCCUUUGUCUGUGCUGUUCCUCCAUCCCAGCACCGAACGAAAUAACCGAGGUGACAUCCUGAUCUCUUGGGGGCUCAUGUGCUGCACAGGGCGGCCCAGCAGCCCCCUAACUUCAUGCUGAAGCUCGUGAAUGUUGGAACAAGAGGCAGGAAUGGGUACUGGAAUGAUUCACAAGUGAUAAAGAUCCUGAAAGAAGGAGGCUGGAGGAAAGGAUGAGUAACAGAAAUAGCUUGCUUGUUUCCUCUUCAGAAAAGCAAGAGGAGCGAGGGAUGCUGAAACGAGAACAUACUUCUUUUUUCCCCUGUGGCUACUAGGAAGUUGACAGGAAAAGAAAGGCCUGCUCUUGUUCAGCAGCUAGAAAUGGGAGCUUCACCCUGAGCAGGUACUCACUGGCUAUAAAACGAACCAAGGAACUGUAUCUACAAGCACGGUCCCGCAGCCAUUUCCUUUCAGAAAGUCCCCAGAGCUGGUAGGAGCAAGGGACUGAGCUUCUCAGGAGGACGGUAAUAGUUUAUGACAGAAGUUGUCUUGCCUUCUGCAGGGGUGAGUUCCCAAAUCAGUCUUGCAGGUACAUUUCUUGAGAACUUUUCACUGGUCUAAAACUGCACCGAUUUUCUUUUAUUUUGUGCAGUGAAGUGGUGAAUAUCGGCCUGUUUUUCAUCCCCAGUGCCACUUCUCCAUGAGUCCUCUGGAAGGCUCUGGGAAAACAGAGCUUACUGGAGAGCGACAGCAUAGAUCUCUCAGCACAGCUUCCUGGCAGAUUCUGAGAUUAGCGAUCAUCGUAAAACUUACAGUGGGUUCUGUUCCUCCUGUCCCUCACACCGAAAUUAUCCCUGUAUUUCUAACAGUGCCGUGAGGGUCACCAGCCGACUGACUGAGCGUCUUAUCGUUAGAUGCAACACCCUGUGCCAAGGAGACUGGUGUUGCCACAGGGUUUAAAUAGCUGAGCUAAUAUUUAAACGUCUGUCCCCUCUGAUCUCUGCAAAAUGAGGAGAAGAGACUUUGUGACUGCACACAGACAGCUGCACAGUGCCCAGAGCACUCUGCAGGCCUCAGCGAACCUCCUCGCCUCACAGGUAGCGGUGCAACCCACACAGCAGCACCCAGCUCCUCUCUAACAUAAAGAGCAGGCAGGGGCAACGAGGAGCUCUCCUCUUGAUGCCAUUUGCAGCACUCACGGGCCUGUGCUGAAAGGCUGCCUAUCAGCACUGUGGUGGCCCGCGCAGCGGGUUCAGUACCUGAACGUACCCCCAGCAAACCGACCUACUGCGCGUGGCUCUCUGCUUCCUUUUCUGCUUGUCACCGUGGGGGAAUAAAGCUAACAUCUCUUUUAUGCCAUACUCCUGGAGACCCAGCCCCACAUUCAUUCUCCUCUGCCAUGAAGUUCACAGCACUAAUCUUGAAGAGCAGAUAAUGAUCAGCCAUGCCCGGGCAAGCCGCAGUACUGAAGCCAAAGUAUAAUUUCUGUGGGAUUACAACAACACAAACCACCAUCAUCAGAGACUGCACUGCGAUGAUGCAAGCAAACAUCUGUAACUCCUGCUGCUCCGGGCGAAACACCGACGUGGGAUUAGUGAGCUGCCACUUGGAGCCCGCUCUGACUGCAGCUUUCGUUCCCCUGACCGCACCGCUUUGGCGUGACCUAAGACACAACUCCAGAUAUUGCCAUUAAAAUUAAAAACAAAGAAACCUCAGUCUUUCUAAAUAAUUUGUUUAGGAGCAUCCCAUGCAACGGUUUCCACCCAAGCCACCUUUACAGCGGCAAACUUUUACUAGGAGGUCUCCAGGGCUUCCCUUCCCCAUUAACCCUGCGCAGCGCUCUGAGCUGCACCGUACAGCAGCAGCCCUCUCCUUAUGCUGCUCCUGUGUUUGUCCCAACACAGGAAACAUCCCAUGCAUCACUCUGGACAGAGCCACCUCGCCGUGCUCAGAUGAUUCCUGUGUUGCUGGGUUAUGGGACAAGGGAACAGCGGCUCCCCAACUAUCUUCCAUAGACCUUCUCCGCUGUCUCCUAUUCAUCCCCUUCCUAAUGAAUCACAGCCUUUUCUCUCUCCUCAUAAUAACCAAAUAAGGAUUUCAGAGUUUGGCCCAUUCAGUACAUUCUGUGUUUUAAUACAGAC